UUUUCAGCGGCAGCUCCUUCAGCUGCUGUGUGGUGGGUCGGAUCUCCUGAGUCCCCCGGGGCCUUGGGUGGGACACGGAGAAGGGGACAGACCCUGCCUCUCCCCUCUCCAGAGCCUUACCCUGGCGGUGUCCAGCAGCUGCAGGAGCUCAUCUCGGCUGGAGGGAUUCAGUGAGGAGGUUACCCAGUGCACUGGACAAUGUUCAACCAACAGAGCCACACCGGCCAGGACUCAUCCUCAAGUUAAGCACGGGAAAACUAAGGCACAGCACAGAAGUCAAGCCCUUGAGUGGUCCCAGUCCCCUGUGGUUUGCUGAACUGGGUUCCUUGGACCUGGACACUGAGCAGCAACAAGGCCUCUCUCACAGGAAGGUGCGGCUUCUGAGCACACAGAGCCCUUUCCCAUCGGCUCUCCCUUGGGGGAGGUUCGGAGCCCCGUGUUGCGAUGGGAACACUGACACUGAGCACGGGGAGGUCACCAGUUGAGGGUCCACAGUACGAGGCACGGACACGGCCGCCCAGAUUCUUUCCUCCGAGUCUCCUUUGUGUGAGACAGGGCUGUGCAGGGGUAGGUGUUGGGGGAGAGGUAGGUAAGGUCUCUCUUGAUGGGUCCAGGACAUGCUACCCCCAAAUAUGGCACCUUAUUAAGAAUAUCUUGUCCUGCCCUAACUGGUUUGGCUCAGUGGAUAGAGUGUUGGCCUGCAGACUGAAAGGUCCCAGGUCCGAUUCCGGUCAAGGGCAUGUACCUGGGUUGCGGGCACAUCCCCAGUAGGAGGUGUGCAGGAGGCAGCUGAUCGAUGUUUC